UGGAGAGUUUGAUCCUGGCUCAGAAUAAACGCUGGCGGCGUGUCUUAAGCAUGCAAGUCGAACGGCAAGAAAGUGCUUGCACUUUCCUAGAGUGGCGGACUGGUGAGUAACACGUGGGUGACGUACCCNUUGGACGGGGAUAGUCGGUAGAAAUACCGGGUAAUACCGGAUAAGGUCAUAUAAGUUGGAGAUAUAUGAGGAAAGUGGCUAUGGCCACGCCGAAGGAACGGCCUGCGGCCUAUCAGCUAGUUGGUGAGGAAAAGGCCCACCAAGGCGAUGACAGGUAUCCGGCCUGAGAGGGUGAACGGACACAUUGGGACUGAGAUACGGCCCNGACUCCUACGGGAGGCAGCAGCUAAGAAUAUUCCGCAAUGGACGAAAGUCUGACGGAGCAACGCCGCGUGGAUGAUGAAGGUCGGAAGAUUGUAAAAUCCUUUUAUUAUUGAAGAAUNAACUGUACAGGGAAUGGUAUAGAGGUGACAGUAGGUAAUGAAUAAGCACCGGCUNAUUACGUGCCAGCAGCCGCGGUNACACGUAAGGUGCCAGCGUUAUUCGGAAUUAUUGGGCGUAAAGGGCACGCAGGCGGUUAUGCAAGCUUGGUGUGAAAUACUGGGGCUUAACCCCAGAACUGCAUUGAGAACUGCAAGACUAGAGUCAGUGAGGGGAAAUCGGAAUUCCAGGUGUAGGGGUGAAAUCUGUAGAUAUCUGGAAGAACACCAAUGGCGAAGGCAGAUUUCCAGCGCAUGACUGACGCUCAGGUGCGAAGGUGCGGGGAUCAAACAGGAUUAGAUACCCUGGUAGUCCGCACAGUAAACUAUGUACACUAGGUGUCCGGUCAUNAGACUGGGUGCCAAAGCAAACGCGAUAAGUGUACCGCCUGGGGAGUAUGCCCGCAAGGGUGAAACUCAAAGGAAUUGACGGGGGCCCGCACAAGCGGUGNNNNNNNNNNNNNNNNNNNNNNNNACGCGAGGAACCUUACCUGGGUUUGACAAUACACACUGAUUAUCAAGAGAUUGGUAAGCGUAGCAAUACGAGUGUGAAACAGGUGCUGCAUGGCUGUCGUCAGCUCGUGCCGUGAGGUGUUGGGUUAAGUCCCNNAACGAGCGCAACCCCUACUGCCGGUUACUAACAGGUAAAGCUGAGGACUCAGGCGGAACUGCCUGCGACAAGCAGGAGGAAGGCGGGGAUGACGUNNAGUCAUCAUGGCCCUUAUGUCCAGGGCUACACACGUGCUACAAUGGUUGGAACAGAGUGAAGCGAAGCGGUGACGUGGAGCAAAACGCAAAAAACCAAUCGUAGUUCGGAUUGGAGUCUGAAACUCGACUCCAUGAAGUUGGAAUCGCUAGUAAUCGCAUAUCAGCACGGUGCGGUGAAUACGUUCCCGGGCCUUGUACACACCGCCCGUCACACCAUCCGAGUCGAGGAUACCCGAAGCCGGUAGACUAACCGCAAGGAGGUCGCUGUCGAAGGUAUG
rnacentral:rRNA from 1 species